rnacentral:rRNA from 1 species
ACGCGAAAANCNUNNCNNGGCCUUGACANGUACCGAAUUNAGCAGAGANGCUUUAGUGCUCGAAAGAGAACGGUAACACAGGNGCUGCANGGCNGUCGUCAGCUCGUGUCGUGAGAUGUUGGGUUAAGUCCCGCAACGAGCGCAACCCUUGCCAUUAAUUGCCAUCAUUUAGUUGGGCACUUUAAUGGGACUGCCGGUGACAAACCGGAGGAAGGUGGGGAUGACGUCAAGUCCUCAUGGCCCUUAUGGCCAGGGCUUCACACGUAAUACAAUNGGUCGGUACAGAGGGAAGCCAACCCGCGAGGGGGAGCCAAUCUCAGAAAGCCGGUCGUAGUCCGGAUUGUUGUCUGCAACUCGACAGCAUGAAGUCGGAAUCGCUAGUAAUCGCGGAUCAGCAUGUCGCGGUGAAUACGUUCCCGGGCCUUGUACACACCGCCCGUCACACCAUGGGAGUGGGUUUUACCAGAAGUAGUUAGUCUAUCCGCAAGGGG